rnacentral:rRNA from 1 species
CCUACGGGAGGCAGCAGUAAGGAAUAUUGGUCAAUGGACGCAAGUCUGAACCAGCCAUGCCGCGUGAAGGAUGAAUGCCCUCUGGGUUGUAAACUUCUUUUAUAGGGGACGAAAAAGGGUCUUUUUAGAUCAACUGACGGUACCCUAGGAAUAAGCACCGGCUAACUCCGUGCCAGCAGCCGCGGUAAUACGGAGGGUGCAAGCGUUAUCCGGAUUUACUGGGUUUAAAGGGUGCGUAGGUGGGUUGGUAAGUCAGCGGUGAAAUCUUCGAGCUUAACUCGGAAACUGCCAUUGAUACUAUCAGCCUUGAAUAUCCUGGAGGUGAGCGGAAUAUGUCAUGUAGCGGUGAAAUGCUUAGAUAUGACAUAGAACACCAAUUGCGAAGGCAGCUCACUACGGGAUUAUUGACACUGAGGCACGAAAGCGUGGGGAUCAAACAGGAUUAGAUACCCUGGUAGUCCACGCCCUAAACGAUGGAUACUCGACAUUUGCGAUAUACAGUAAGUGUCUGAGCGAAAGCAUUAAGUAUCCCACCUGGGAAGUACGAUCGCAAGAUUGAAACUCAAAGGAAUUAGACGG